CACGUAGGGGGCGAGCGUUGUCCGGAAUCAUUGGGCGUAAAGAGCUCGUAGGCGGCUCAAUAAGUCGGGUGUGAAACCCCCAGGCUCAACCUGGGGACGCCACCCGAUACUGUUGUGGCUAGAGUCCAGUAGGGGAGUGUGGAAUUCCCGGUGUAGCGGUGAAAUGCGCAGAUAUCGGGAGGAACACCAGCGGCGAAGGCGGCACUCUGGGCUGGUACUGACGCUGAGGAGCGAAAGCGUGGGCAGCGAACAGG
rnacentral:rRNA from 1 species